GCCGGAAUGGUGGAAUGGCAGACACAGCGGACUUAAAAUCCGCAGCCGCAAGGCGUAGGGGUUCGACUCCCCUUUCCGGCACCA
rnacentral:tRNA from 1 species